rnacentral:rRNA from 1 species
CCUACGGGUGGCAGCAGUGGGGAAUAUUGGGCAAUGGAGGCAACUCUGACCCAGCAACGCCGCGUGAAUGAUGAAGGUCUUCGGAUUGUAAAGUUCUUUUCUAAGGGAAGAAGAAAGUGACGGUACCUUAGGAAUAAGCCUCUGCUAACUACGUGCCAGCAGCCGCGGUAAGACGUAGGAGGCAAGCGUUAGCCGUAAUGACUGGGCGUAAAGGGUGCGUAGGUGGUGUGACAAGUUAGUAGCGAAACUCCGGGGCUCAACUUCGGAACUACUACUAAAACUGUUGGACUGGAGUGCAGGAGGGGCAAUCGGAAUUCCUGGUGUAGCGGUGGAAUGCGUAGAUAUUAGGAGGAACACCAGUGGCGAAGGCGGAUUGCUAGACUGUAACUGACACUGAGGCACGAAAGCGUGGGGAGCAAACAGGAUUAGAUACCCUUGUAGUC